UAAUCUAUUCAAGGACUGCCGAAGACAGUAGGUGUGCGAUGCACGUAAGGACAGAAUACAAGGACGCCUACCGAGGGAUGAUCGAUACAAAAUGUAUGAUUUGCAAACCUCUAUUGUCUUAGGAUAUAGAGGUUUUAUUUUAUAUCU
rfam:Veillonella sp. CAG:933 genomic scaffold, scf213